rnacentral:rRNA from 1 species
UAGGGAAUCUUCGGCAAUGGACGGAAGUCUGACCGAGCAACGCCGCGUGAGUGAAGAAGGUUUUCGGAUCGUAAAGCUCUGUUGUUAGAGAAGAACGUUGGUAGGAGUGGAAAAUCUACCAAGUGACGGUAACUAACCAGAAAGGGACGGCUAACUACGUGCCAGCAGCCGCGGUAAUACGUAGGUCCCGAGCGUUGUCCGGAUUUAUUGGGCGUAAAGCGAGCGCAGGCGAUUCUUUAAGUCUGAAGUUAAAGGCAGUGGCUUAACCAUUGUACGCUUUGGAAACUGGAGGACUUGAGUGCAGAAGGGGAGAGUGGAAUUCCAUGUGUAGCGGUGAAAUGCGUAGAUAUAUGGAGGAACACCGGUGGCGAAAGCGGCUCUCUGGUCUGUAACUGACGCUGAGGCUCGAAAGCGUGGGGAGCAAACAGG